GCACUGCUGAGGAGUCCCACAAUAGAACGAAACGGCUAUCCAGUAU
rfam:Schistosoma haematobium scaffold1372_1, whole genome shotgun sequence.